GGCAACGUGGCGGAGUGGACGAUCGCGCGGCGCUCGAAUUAACGAGAUCACGCCGUAUCUUCGGAUUCGCAGGUUCGAAUCCUGCCGUUGUCG
rnacentral:tRNA from 1 species